AUACAGGUGUUGCAUGGCUGUCGUCAGCUCGUGUCGUGAGAUGUUCGGUUAAGUCCGCUAACGAGCGCAACCUCGCCGUAUGUUACAAGUGUCAUACGGGACUGCCGGUAAAAGCGGAGGAAGGUGAGGAUGAUGUCAAGUCAGCAUGGCCUUUAUAUCCUGGGCUACACACACGCUACAAUGGGAAGGGACAAUAGGUUGCGAAGCCGCGAGGCGGAGCCAAUCCAGCAAAACUUCCCUCAGUUCAGAUUGCAGGCUGCAACUCGCCUGCAUGAAGUUGGAGUUGCUAGUAAACGCAGGUCAGCCAUACUGCGUUGAAUACGUUCCCGGGGCUU
rnacentral:rRNA from 1 species